CAUAUCUGUCAGUCACGUAUUGCAUUAUUGUUUUUAAAUUAUUAUUUUGGUAAAGUCUGUUAUUUACAAUAAUAACGUAAUAUAAAUCCUUGACUGAAAGAUAGAAUGCCAAAUGCUAAGCACCCAAUUAAGUCAGGUACCUAAAUAGAUAUACAAUUUUAUUAUACACCGUUUGUGGUCAACACAUGUUUGUCAUGUGAACAUUAAUUAGAUACGUAGAAAUGGGGCUGUAAUUACGACGAGUAAAGGAGCAUUGGACCCUAACAAACCUGUAGUUCUCGUAGCCGACGUGGUCGUUGGCCUCGGUGAACUGGUUGGAGACGCGGUACUUGGUGACGAAACCGGGGUAGUGUGCGCACUCGGCGUGGAAGGCAGCGCGGUCGGCGUGCCAGCGCAUGGCCGUGCCCAGCACGCGUCGCAGGAACUGGCCGUAGCGCGCCGCCUCGCCCUCCGAGCACGACAUCACCGAGUACGUGAUGUCGCAGAACAGCUGCACCGCGCACGCCACACCACGCGGCCACAUGCAACCACACCGCCGAUGACAUGAGCAUCAUUGUCGUCGACACCAAGCAGCGUAGAGAAGUUGGGCGUCUUGAGUGAGUGCACCGUGUGCACGAACUCGGCGCAGUAGAGCGCGUCGGCGGCUGUGAACACGCAGCGUGGGAACAGGCACAGCUGCAUGAGCCGCGUCACGGUCUCGUUCUUGG